rnacentral:rRNA from 1 species
AUUGAACGCUGGCGGAAUGCUUUGCACAUGCAAGUCGAACGGUAGAGGGGGCAACCCCUUGAGAGUGGCGAACGGGUGAGUAAUAUAUCGGAACGUGCCCAGUCGUGGGGGAUAACGUAGCGAAAGUUACGCUAAUACCGCAUACGAUCUAAGGAUGAAAGCGGGGGAUCGCAAGACCUCGCGCGACUGGAGCGGCCGAUAUCAGAUUAGGUAGUUGGUAGGGUAAAGGCCUACCAAGCCAACGAUCUGUAGCUGGUCUGAGAGGACGACCAGCCACACUGGAACUGAGACACGGUCCAGACUCCUACGGGAGGCAGCAGUGGGGAAUUUUGGACAAUGGGCGAAAGCCUGAUCCAGCCAUUCCGCGUGCAGGAUGAAGGCCCUCGGGUUGUAAACUGCUUUUGUACAGAACGAAAAGGUUUCUAUUAAUACUAGGAGCUCAUGACGGUACUGUAAGAAUAAGCACCGGCUAACUACGUG